rnacentral:rRNA from 1 species
UACGGAGGGGGCUAGCGUUGUUCGGAAUUACUGGGCGUAAAGCGCACGUAGGCGGCUUUGUAAGUUAGAGGUGAAAGCCCGGGGCUCAACUCCGGAAUUGCCUUUAAGACUGCAUCGCUAGAAUUGUGGAGAGGUAAGUGGAAUUCCGAGUGUAGAGGUGAAAUUCGUAGAUAUUGGGAAGAACACCGGUGGCGAAGGCGGCUCACUGGCUCAUUACUGACGCUCAGGCGCGAUAGCGUGGGGAUCAAACAGG